rnacentral:lncRNA from 1 species
AAAAACCAUGCUACCUUCCUAAUUUUUCCUUCGUCGGAGCUCUUUUCUCCGACCACCAUUGUUGUUGCCGCUGCCCUCAACGGAAAGCCUAUGCAAGAACUUCAGCUCCUCCAUUUGCCGCCCACAACCACCGUCUAACGCUACCGCUGUCGCUGCUGAGUUGUCGGCAUCAACUCCCCUUCCAGCUGAAGUCUUGGCCUCUAUUUCCCUCUCCCCUUGCUACUGCCAUUAAUGGCAGCUUAAGCUUUCCUUCUUCCUCUCCUUUGUCUCCUUCUUC